AUCGGUAAUGCUUUAAUAGCUCUGCUUAGUAAGUGGAGUAUUGGGUGUUAUUUCGAAGUCAAAAACCCUAUCUUGGUUGAUUUACCCUAUAACCUGGAUUUUCGAGAGGCAGCAGAAUGGAAUUGUCUCAAAGUACUGACUUUUCAUUAUUUUCCACGCAGAUCCCUGAGGAUAAGAGAAGGAAAGGUUUUGUCUCGGGGAGGGUAGGCUUCUCCUAAAAAGAGAAUUCUGGAAGUCAACAUAAUUAAACAAAGAGGAAAAUGUGCCAGACAGGAGUGGGUGGGGGCUGUUUUCUCUUUGUGGUUGGUUGUGGUGCGUUCAAGAUUCCUCGCCUAAGAUGAGGUUCCUGAGCUUCCAGUAGCCGACUGACUGCCCGAGAGACCCAGGGCUCCGCGAGGCGACGGCGCAGGUGUCGAGGCUCCCUGCAGGUGUAAUUACUAUUAUCAGCAUCUAUAAAGCAUCAUGCAUUUGCUGGAGUACUUCCUAGCACUGACCUCCUUCCUUCUGCGUUGUUCUUACUGGAUCUUUCUAUCAGCCAACAAUAUGGAAGUACCAAUACAAGGUCAAAUCAUUCCUGGAUUCAUCUGGAGUUACUUAACAGUUAAAUCAUUGGAAGUUUUGGUGAUACCUUUUCUAUAUGGAUUACAAUUUGAUCUCUGGGAAUUCUCCACCGUAAAAAAGACUCUUGCUAUUUGGAAGCCCAUGCCCACCUCUGACUUCCACUCAAAAUUGCUUUCCUCACAGUCUGACUGCGAGAGUUGUGAAACAUUGGGAUGUGCUUCUGAGGUGGGCUGUGGAAUGCCAUGUAAGUUGCUACUAUUUUUUCUGAAGGCGAUGGGUUUUCGUGCGCAGUAG
rnacentral:lncRNA from 1 species